rnacentral:rRNA from 1 species
GAGUUUGAUCAUGGCUCAGAUUGAACGCUGGCGGCAUGCCUUACACACGCAAGUCGAACGGCAGCAUGAUCUAGCUUGCUAGAUUGAUGGCGAGUGGCGAACGGGUGAGUAAUACAUCGGAACGUGCCCUGUAGUGGGGAGUAACUAGUCGAAAGAAUUAGCUAAUAACCGCCAUACGACCUCGAGGGUGGAAAGUAGGGGGACCGGCAAGGCCUCAUGCUAUAGGAGCGGCCGAUGUCUGAUUAGCUAGUUGGUGGGGU